rnacentral:lncRNA from 1 species
AAUGUUCUUGCUUGCCCUUAUUGUCCUUACCCAAGCCCUAAACCACCUUCACACCACCCUCCUAUUGUUAAGCCACCAGUUCACAAACCACCAAAGCAUUCUCCUACUCCUAAACCACCAGUUCAUAAACCACCAAGAUAUCCUCCUAAACCAUCACCUUGUCCACCCCCAUCAUCAACACCAAAACCACCUCAUCAUCCCAAACCCCCAGCAGUACACCCACCACAUGUUCCAAAACCACAUCCACCUUAUGUUCCAAAACCACCAAUUGUUAAACCUCCAAUAGUACAUCCACCUUACGUACCAAAACCCCCAGUUGUGAAACCACCACCAUAUGUCCCUAAACCACCUGUUGUGAGACCACCCUAUGUUCCUAAACCACCAGUUGUACCUGUAACACCACCUUAUGUUCCUAAGCCACCAAUUGUUUUCCCACCACAUGUUCCUCUACCUCCAGUUGUACCAUCACCACCACCUUAUGUACCAACACCUCCAAUUGUGAAACCACCAAUUGUUUUUCCACCACAUGUUCCUCUACCUCCAGUUGUGCCUGUAACACCACCUUAUGUGCAACCACCACCUAUUGUAACUCCACCAACACCAACACCUCCAAUUGUGACACCACCAACACCACCUAGUGAAACACCUUGUCCUCCACCACCACUUGUACCUUAUCCACCACCACCAGCACAACAAACAUGUUCCAUUGAUGCUUUGAAGUUGGGUGCAUGUGUUGAUGUGCUUGGUGGACUCAUACAUAUUGGUAUAGGUGGAAGUGCUAAACAAACAUGUUGUCCAUUGCUUCAAGGACUUGUUGAUUUGGAUGCUGCUAUAUGUCUUUGCACCA